AGGUGGGGCCUUGGGCCAAACCGUCACCCCUGGGCCACAGGCAGCCACGGACCUCGCCUUUCCCACUUGGUUAGAGUCGGCUCUGCCGGGAGAAAGCGAUUCCAGAAUUCCCUAAGUUAAAGGAAUUUCUUACUCCUUCUUGAGCGCCAUCCAAGGGCCAGGCCUUAGUCUAGGAACUGGCAACACCGUGGCGACCACGUCAGACAAGAUCGCUGCCCUCAUUGAGUUCCCAGGUUGGCAGGGGAAACAAAAAUGUAAUAAAUAACUGCACUUUGCAAGAAGAGCUAUGAAGAAAAAACAGGGUGAUGGGAGAGAGAAUGCUUGGAUGUUGAAGGGAGGCCUUUCUGAGAUGGCGACAUCUUGAGCUGAAUAAAGAAGGAUGAGAAAGGAUGGGGCUUGCAAAGUUCUGGCUUCAAAGAAUUCCAGGCAGAGGGAACAAGAGUGAAGUCUCCAGGGGAAGCCAGCUUAGUGUUUGGAGACUAGAAAGAAGGGGUGUGCGGCUGGAAGAUGCUGGAGGUAGAGGACGGAAACUCAAAAGAUGAUUGAAGAUUAAAAAACAAGAUGAUUGAGGCUGGACUUCUCAAAACCUUGCUGCAGCCUGAGCUUGAGCGUUUGUGAGCUUUGCAGCCAGAUAUGAACAGAAGACAGAUUCAUUUCCUGCUGCCUGCUUCUCCAACCCCAAAUCUCCCAGUUUGAUCCGAGAGCCCUGAAGAUUUGCCUUCACCCGGCGCCCCCCAGAUGCUUCUUUUUAAGCCUUGCUUGUAAAUAGGUGUCAGUAAGGGUCUCACCAUGCAGGAUGUGGGCGUGUGGGUGCUCCAGAUCCCCACACCGGCUGUCACCAUCCCCCUGCUGUUGCCAGUGCAUCCCUUGAGGAUGCCUGGCAGGUUACACCCCACCCCGGGGGCAAAUGGUGACUGACAACAGAACAAGUGCUCACC
rnacentral:lncRNA from 1 species